AGCAGCCGCGGUAAUUCCAGCUCCAAUAGCGUAUAUUAAAGUUGUUGCAGUUAAAAAGCUCGUAGUUGAAUUUCGGGGUUAGUAGGUUGGUCAUGCCUCUGGUAUGUACUGGUCUCACUGAUUCCUCCUUCCUGAUGAACCUUAAUGCCAUUUAUUUGGUGUUUUGGGAAUUUGGACUGUUACUUUGAAAAAAUUAGAGUGUUUAAAGCAAGCUAACGCUUGAAUACAUUAGCAUGGAAUAAUGAAAUAGGACGUUCGAUCCUAUUUUGUUGGUUUCUAGGAUUGACGUAAUGAUUAAUAGGGAUAGUUGGGGGCAUUAGUAUUCAAUCGUCAGAGGUGAAAUUCUUGGAUUUAUUGAAGACUAACUACUGCGAAAGCAUUUGCCAAGGAUGUUUUCAUUAAUCAAGAACGAAAGUUAGGGGAUCGAAGACGAUCAGAUACCGUCGUAGUCUUAACCAUAAACUAUGCCGACUAGGGAUCGGAUGAUGUUAAUUUUUUAAUGACUCAUUCGGCGCCUUACG
rnacentral:rRNA from 1 species